rnacentral:tRNA from 1 species
UGGGGUAUAGCUCAGUUGGUAGAGUGCUUGCCUCGUAGGCACAAGGCCCUGGGUUCAAUCCCCAGUACCACAA